rnacentral:tRNA from 1 species
ACCGCCAUUAGUUCAUCAGGAAAGAGCGCCAGCCUUCGAAGCUGGCUGCGCGGGGUUCAAGUCCCCGAAGGCGGUU